AUACGGAGGAUGCGAGCGUUAUCCGGAUUUAUUGGGUUUAAAGGGUGCGCAGGCGGGCGAUUAAGUCAGCGGUGAAAGGCUCGGGCUCAACCGGAGCAGUGCCGUUGAUACUGGUUGUCUUGAAUGCGGUCAAGGCCGGCGGAAUGUGGCGUGGAGCGGUGAAAUGCAUAGAUAUGCCACAGAACACCGAUAGCGAAGGCAGCUGGCCGGGCCUGCAUUGACGCUGAGGCACGAAAGCGUGGGGAUCGAACAGGAUUAGAUACCCUGGUAGUCCACGCUGUAAACGAUGGACACUCGUUGUCGGCGACAGACAGUCGGCGGCCAAGCGAAAGUGAUAAGUGUCCCACCUGGGGAGUACGGUCGCAAGGCUGAAACUCAAAUGAAUUGACGGGG
rnacentral:rRNA from 1 species